rnacentral:rRNA from 1 species
GGAAUUGUUCGCAAUGGGCGCAAGCCUGACGACGCAACGCCGCGUGGAGGAUGAAGAUCUUCGGGUCGUAAACUCCUGUCGAAUGGGAAGAACGUUUCGCGGAUGAAUAAGCCGCGGAAGUGGCGGUACCAUUAAAGGACGCCCCGGCUAACUCCGUGCCAGCAGCCGCGGUAAUACGGGGGGGGCAAGCGUUGUUCGGAAUUACUGGGCGUAAAGGGCUCGUAGGUGGCCAACUAAGUCAGACGUGAAAUCCCCAGGCUUAACCUGGGAACUGCGUCUGAUACUGGAUGGCUUGAAUUCGGGAGAGGGAUGCAGAAUUCCAGGUGUAGCGGUGAAAUGCGUAGAUAUCUGGAGGAAUACCGGUGGCGAAGGCGGCAUCCUGGACCGAGAUUGACACUGAUGAGCGAAAGCCAGGGGAGCAAAC